CGCCCUUAGAGUUUGAUCAUGGCUCAGAUUGAACGCUGGCGGCAGGCCUAACACAUGCAAGUCGAACGGUAAAGUAGCUUGCUACUUACGAGUGGCGGACGGGUGAGUAAUGUCUGGGGAUCUGCCUGAUGGAGGGGGAUAACUACUGGAAACGGUAGCUAAUACCGCAUAAUGUCGCAAGACCAAAGCGGUUCGUCGCACCAUCAGAUGAACCCAGAUGGGAUUAGCUAGUAGGUAGGGUAAUGGCUUACCUAGGCGACGAUCCCUAGCUGGUCUGAGAGGAUGACCAGCCACACUGGAACUGAGACACGGUCCAGACUCCUACGGGAGGCAGCAGUGGGGAAUAUUGCACAAUGGGCGCAAGCCUGAUGCAGCCAUGCCGCGUGUAUGAAGAAGGCCUUCGGGUUGUAAAGUACUUUCAGUCAGGAGGGAAGGGUGUGAAUAAUUUCAUGCAUUGACGGUACUGACAGAAGGAGCACCGGCUAACUCCGUGCCAGCAGCCGCGGUAAUACGGAGGGUGCAAGCGUUAAUCGGAAUUACUGGGCGUAAAGCGCACGCAGGGUUGUUAAGUCAGAUGUGAAUUCCCCGGC
rnacentral:rRNA from 1 species